rnacentral:rRNA from 1 species
UACAGAGGGUGCGAGCGUUAAUCGGAGUUACUGGGCGUAAAGGGCGCGUAGGCGGUUAUGCAAGUGAGAUGUGAAAGCCCUGGGCUUAACCUAGGAAUUGCAUUUUAAACUGUGUGACUGGAGUACAGUAGAGGGUGGCGGAAUUUCCGGUGUAGCGGUGAAAUGCGUAGAGAUCGGAAGGAACACCAGUGGCGAAGGCGGCCACCUGGACUGAUACUGACGCUGAGGCGCGAGAGCGUGGGGAGCAAACAGG